rnacentral:rRNA from 1 species
AUUGAACGCUGGCGGCAGGCCUAACACAUGCAAGUCGAGCGGAUGAAGGGAGCUUGCUCCUGGAUUCAGCGGCGGACGGGUGAGUAAUGCCUAGGAAUCUGCCUGGUAGUGGGGGAUAACGUCCGGAAACGGGCGCUAAUACCGCAUACGUCCUGAGGGAGAAAGUGGGGGAUCUUCGGACCUCACGCUAUCAGAUGAGCCUAGGUCGGAGUAGCUAGUUGGUGGGGUAAAGGCCUACCAAGGCGACGAUCCGUAACUGGUCUGAGAGGAUGAUCAGUCACACUGGAACUGAGCCACGGUCCAGACUCCUACGGGAGGCAGCAGUGGGGAAUAUUGGACAAUGGGCGAAAGCCUGAUCCAGCCAUGCCGCGUGUGUGAAGAAGGUCUUCGGAUUGUAAAGCACUUUAAGUUGGGAGGAAGGGCAGUAAGUUAAUACCUUGCUGUUUUGACGUUACCAACAGAAUAAGCACCGGCUAACUUCGUG